CGACCAGUCCGGUAUUUUCACACUCAAACAUAAACACAACAGCUUUUAUAUCUCUUUGGAAUACAGGACGUUUUCACUUUCUCAGGACAGGCAUAAAAAAUGUCAGUCCAGUCAGUUCAAAGCAGUAGUGGUUCAGUUUAACAGUGGGUGAAGGCUUUCUGUCUGUACAGAGCACGUGGCUGUCUGUCUUUAUCUUCCCAGUUGUCUUUGUCGACAAUACAUCGUACUCAGUAUGAGAUUUCACUCAUCCUGUUGUAAAAUCUGAUGUAUACAGGACUUUCAUGUACAGAAAAGAAACAGUCCACAGUUACCAAGGAAGUAGACAUGUGAGACAUUUUUGUUUUUUGUUUUUUGUCUUUUACUUUCAUCUUGUAGACUUACUUUCUGUUCAUAGAAAAACUGUAACGACAUCAAUUUGAUGCUGUUUCUCUGUUCUUUCAGUUUUUUUCUAUUUUUGUUUAUUUUUCUUUAAAACGAUAAAAUCUCCAGCCUCUUAUACUUAAAAAUUAUACUACAAAUAAUUUUUUCAACUACUCUUAAAUAUAUGUGUGUUGCUAUGCAUUCUUUUUUUUUCUUUUUGUUAAAAUGUUCUGGGUUUUGUUUUUUUGUUUUUCCCGCCUGUCCCAUUUGGUUCUUUUGCCAUCAGAAUUAUUGUCUAAAGGCAAAGAAAGAUGCCCAACGGAUUUACUUUAUCAAAUGGACCAUCCCGGCCUUGCCGUAUUGGUCUAUUUGAUUCACCUUUGCUUUUAUUGUUUAUUUUAUUUUAUUUUCACUUGCUACACACGGGACAGACAUGAUUGGGGGAAAGAAAAGGGAGAAAGAAAGAGGGAAAGAAAAAUGUUCUGGGUUUUUAAGUGAAAGAGGAAAGGAGGAAUGCUACAUAGACUAUUUACUAUGUUCCUUACAAAUCUGUGUCGUUUUUGUCAAGUCACUGGAAGAACCUCAGUUAUUGGGUUCUUUGUGGCAACUAAAUCCCCAAGCUGCGUUUAAACUUUUUGCAACAUAAAUCGUCACAUGGGAGUUAGGGACUCACAUGCAAGUAAAACUGGACCAGCUGCCAAUAAUUAAGGAGUAUAACCCUUUUCUUUGUUAAUUACUUAUAUCUUAUUAUACCAAAUGGUAAUUAAGUGUGAUAUUAACAUUCAAAAUCUAGUAGUACUUUAAGUCCAAACUACAUUUAUAAAAAGUCAAGACCACAAGUACUUUGUUACAUAGUAAGUAUGCUGUGGAAGAUCAAAGAAGACCAUUUAAAGAAUUGUG
ensembl:lncRNA